CUGAACGCCUCUAAGUCAGAAUCCGUGCUAGAAACGAUGAUGUUGGUGUCGCACAUUAGACUUGUGUUUAAUAGAGCUUUGCUCGUGAACCAAAUAUGGUGGGCUGGGUUGUCUUUGCGGAAACGCUUAGGCGACUUGUCUACGAAUUGUAAUCAUAAUAUGGGCGGCGGUGAAUCCUUUGCAGACGACUUGAAUGGGACGGGGUACUGUAAGUGGUAGAGUAGCCUUGUUGCUACGAUCCACUGAGGUUAAGCCCUUGUUCUAAAGAUUUGUUCA
rnacentral:rRNA from 1 species